AACGCACCUUGCGCCCUUUGGCUAUUCUGAAGGGCAUGCCUGUUUGAGUAUCAUGAACACCUCAGCUCUUGUGGUUUACCAUGAUGAGCUUGGACUUUGGGGGUCUUGCUGGCCUAUGGUCGGCUCCUCUUAAAUGAAUCAGCUUGCCAGUGUUUGGUGGCAUCACAGGUGUGAUAACUAUCUACGCUUGUGGUUUUCCACCAGGUAACCUUCAGUCACGGAGGUUCGCUGGGGCUCACAAAUGUCUCUCCUCAGUGAGGACAGCUUUUUAACGUUUGAUCUCAAAUCAGGUAGGACUACCCGCUGAACUUAA
rnacentral:misc_RNA from 1 species